rnacentral:lncRNA from 1 species
AGGAAGGAUGCCGGGGAGAGACCACUGGGUGAUUUUCUCUGUUCGUUGGCGAUGUUCUAAAGAAAAGGGGACUUUGUUUCUUUACAAAAAGAAAAAAAUGUGGAAAGUGCCUGUGCUGGUGCAGAUAGCUGCCAUGAGGGGUUCAUCAGUGCUCUCAGUUAGCGAGGCCCAGGGAAACCUGGCCUCGUGUGCACAGGCUACAGAUGACAGUCACUGGUCACAGACCCCUAGGAGAAGAGAAAGCGUUCUCAACCUCCCAAGCAGUUGCCCGGCUCCUGGCCAUUUGCAGUCGCUGCUAAAAUCAGCCUCAUCGAUGACCACACUUCCAGGAAGCCACAGAGAGCUCUGUCGCUGCCGCCGCCUGGAAUUGUGUUUGGCUGGGGCACCGAGACCAUCUAGAAGGGGAAGAGCGGCAUGUCUGGGCGUUUAAGCCAUUUGUGGUAAAAGGAUCCGGAUGUGCAAACGGCUGAGUUGCCCUGUUACUGGAUUGUUUUUUUCCACUAGAUGAAAAACAAAAUCUUUUUUUUUCCAACUGGCUGCAGCUCCAUUCAAGUAAUAAUAAAAGAACUUAACAGUGGUGCAUUAUGUAUGUGGUGAGUCUUUGAAAGAGAAGGCCUUGCUGCCGUGUGAGGCCCAGCAAGGCGGACAGGGACGGCUGGCGUUUCUGAUCAAUGGUUACUGAGCUCGGUUUUGUGCCUGGCACCGUGGGAGCUGAGCGGAAAACGGAAUGCACGAAAAAGGAAGACUGGGAGGCAAGGAGAGGGCUGAGCAGUGACUCGGGUGGGCUAAGUAGGCAGAGGAAAGCAAGGAGGCCAGUUCCGAGGUUUCCUUGGACAUUCAGCAAACAUUUAUUAAGCUCCUACUGUGUGCUGGCAACAUGCGGGUCCAGAGAUGCGACACAGAAAAGAUGGAUUAGAUCCUGCCUACCCAGGGCUUCCAUUCCGGGA